rnacentral:rRNA from 1 species
AAUAGAUACCCGGUAGUCCUAGCCGUAAACGAUGAGCACUGGGUUGAAGGGUCCUCCAUAGCCUUUCAGCCGUAGCGAAAGUGUUAAGUGCUCCGCCUGGGGAGUAUGGUCGCAAGGCUGAAACUCAAAGAAAUUGACGGGGGCCCACACAAGCGGUGGAGGAUGUGGCUUAAUUCGAGGCUACGCGAAGAACCUUAUCCUAGUCUUGACAUGCACGGAUUAACUCCCUGAAAGGGGAGCCACGCCUUCGGGUGGAACGUGCACAGGUGCUGCAUGGCUGUCGUCAGCUCGUGCUGUGAAGUGUCGGGUUAAGUCCCUUAACGAGCGAAACCCUUGUCGCUAGUUGCCAGCGAGUCAUGUCGGGGACUCUAGCGAGACCGCCGGUGUUAAACCGGAGGAAGGUGGGGAUGACGUCAAGUCCUCAUGGCCUUUAUGACUAGGGCUGCACACGUCCUACAAUGGCAUGCACAAAGGGACGCAAAGUCGCGAGACCAAGCAAAUCCCAAAAAACAUGCCCCAGUUCGGAUUGCAGG